rnacentral:rRNA from 1 species
GUGGGGAAUAUUGGACAAUGGGGGGAACCCUGAUCCAGCCAUGCCGCGUGUGUGAAGAAGGCCUUUUGGUUGUAAAGCACUUUAAGCGAGGAGGAGGCUACCGAGAUUAAUACUCUUGGAUAGUGGACGUUACUCGCAGAAUAAGCACCGGCUAACUCUGUGCCAGCAGCCGCGGUAAUACAGAGGGUGCGAGCGUUAAUCGGAUUUACUGGGCGUAAAGCGUGCGUAGGCGGCUUUUUAAGUCGGAUGUGAAAUCCCUGAGCUUAACUUAGGAAUUGCAUUCGAUACUGGAAAGCUAGAGUAUGGGAGAGGAUGGUAGAAUUCCAGGUGUAGCGGUGAAAUGCGUAGAGAUCUGGAGGAAUACCGAUGGCGAAGGCAGCCAUCUGGCCUAAUACUGACGCUGAGGUACGAAAGCAUGGGGAGCAAACAGGAUUAGAUACCCCAGUAGUCC